rnacentral:rRNA from 1 species
UGAGGAAUUUUGCGCAAUGGGAGCAAUCCUGACGCAGCAACGCCGCGUGGGUGAUGAAGGCCUUCGGGUCGUAAAGCCCUGUCAGGUGGGAAGAAUGUCCCGGAAUUGAACAGGUUUCGGGAGUGACGGUACCACCAGAGGAAGCACCGGCUACCUCCGUGCCAGCAGCCGCGGUAAUACGGAGGGUGCAAGCGUUAUUCGGAAUUACUGGGCGUAAAGCGCGUGUAGGAGGUCCUGCAAGUCUGAUGUGAAAGCCCCGGGCUUAACCCGGGAAGUGCAUUGGAAACUGCAGGUCUUGAGUACGGGAGAGGAUGGGGGAAUUCCCGGUGUAGAGGUGAAAUUCGUAGAGAUCGGGAGGAAUAUCAGUGGCGAAGGCGCCCAUCUGGACGGUAACUGACGCUGAGACGCGAAAGCGUGGGGAGCAAACA